AACUCUUAACUGUGGAUCACUUGGCUCGCGCGUCGAUGAAGAACGCAGCUAGCUGCGAGAAUUAGUGUGAAUUGCAGGACACAUUGAUCAUCGACACUUCGAACGCACCUUGCGGCCCAGGGGGCACCACCCCACCCUCUCCGACUCAGACCUC